rnacentral:rRNA from 1 species
AUUGAACGCUGGCGGCAUGCUUUACACAUGCAAGUCGAACGGUAACAGGGACUUCGGUCUGCUGACGAGUGGCGAACGGGUGAGUAACAUAUCGGAACGUGCCCAGUAAUGGGGGAUAGCUCGGCGAAAGCCGGAUUAAUACCGCAUACGCCCUGAGGGGGAAAGUGGGGGAUCUUCGGACCUCACGUUAUUGGAGCGGCCGAUAUCGGAUUAGCUAGUUGGUGGGGUAAAGGCCUACCAAGGCGACGAUCCGUAGCUGGUCUGAGAGGAUGAUCAGCCACACUGGGACUGAGACACGGCCCAGACUCCUACGGGAGGCAGCAGUGGGGAAUUUUGGACAAUGGGCGCAAGCCUGAUCCAGCCAUGCCGCGUGUGUGAAGAAGGCCUGCGGGUUGUAAAGCACUUUUGUUCGGGAAGAAAUCAUGUCGGUUAAUACCCGAUGUGGAUGACGGUACCGAAAGAAUAAGCACCGGCUAACUUCGUGCCAGCAGCCGACGG